rnacentral:tRNA from 1 species
GGUGUCUCAGUGGUAGAGCGCUUGCCUUGCAAGCAUGAGUUCCUGGGUUCAAUUCCUCAGCACCA